CACCCCUGGCCAUGGGCAAAGAGACCCCUUGUUGGUGGUGGUGUUCUUGUGUCAGUCAGGGCAGAGCAGAUGGCAGACCUUUGUUCAUCUUAGUUUGAUGUCUGGCUUGGUGGCCAAAGCUGUUUCAUACCUAGGGCACAUAA